GGGGAUUUAGCUCAGUGGUAGAGCGCUUGCCUAGCAAGCGCAAGGCCCUGGGUUCCGUCCCCAGCUCCA
rfam:Rattus norvegicus chromosome 8, whole genome shotgun sequence.